UGUGUGUUACAGCCGGACCCCCGCCCAAUUAUUGCAAUAGAUUCGCUCUCAUCUUGUUUCCAGUCACCUCUCACAAACUACAUCUUCAAUAAAGACUUACAAUGUCUGUAAAUACUCCAGGCCUCAUCAGAUUGAUCAUCUUUGCCACCUGGAAAACGUCAACAGCAUUUUCAUUCUCCAGCUGCUGGGACAGAGUGGUAAGGGCACAUAAUGUUCCAGCCGCCACUGCUCCAUACCUGCAAACCCACAGAACAGUUGUGUUCAGAUGCUCAUAGGUGAAUCAUGAAGCCCCCCUGUCAGGUAGCAAUGAAAAUCUGAUGUCUGUAUAUCAGCUUUAGUUUUCUUUGAAUUGCACCUAUAAUCACUGCCAGAUAGGUGUACCUAUACUUGGGAUUAGUUUGCUGUUUUAUUAAUGAAUAAAAUAAGUGAUGAUGUGGUCGAGUGCA